AUUGAACGCUGGCGGCAUGCCUUACACAUGCAAGUCGAACGGCAGCAUGGAGAGCUUGCUCUCUGAUGGCGAGUGGCGAACGGGUGAGUAAAGCAUCGGAACGUACCGUGUAAUGGGGGAUAACGUAGCGAAAGUUACGCUAAUACCGCAUACGACCUGAGGGUGAAAGCAGGGGAUCGCAAGACCUUGCGUUAUACGAGCGGCCGAUGUCAGAUUAGCUAGUUGGUGAGGUAAAGGCUCACCAAGGCGACGAUCUGUAGCGGGUCUGAGAGGAUGAUCCGCCACACUGGGACUGAGACACGGCCCUGACUCCUACGGGAGGCAGCAGUGGGGAAUUUUGGACAAUGGGGGCAACCCUGAUCCAGCCAUGCCGCGUGAGUGAAGAAGGCCUUCGGGUUGUAAAGCUCUUUCGGCCGGGAAGAAAUCGCACAGGCUAAUACUCUGUGUGGAUGACGGUACCGGCAUAAGAAGCACCGGCUAACUACGUGCCAGCAGCCGCCGUAAGAC
rnacentral:rRNA from 1 species